rnacentral:snoRNA from 1 species
ACGACCUUACUUGAACAGGAUCUGUUCUAUAGGCUCAUACGAAGUUUGGUGGAUGACUCGUGGCCAUUAGAUCAGAGCGUUAUUAAUAGACUCCAUAGCCCUCGGGCAUGGUGCCAUAGAUGAUCGUUCUUAAAUGGUCUAAUGAUUAUCUUACAAACU